GACGAACGCUGGCGGCGUGCCUAAUACAUGCAAGUAGAACGCUGAAGGAGGAGCUUGCUUCUCCGGAUGAGUUGCGAACGGGUGAGUAACGCGUAGGUAACCUGCCUGGUAGCGGGGGAUAACUAUUGGAAACGAUAGCUAAUACCGCAUAAGAGUAGAUGUCGCAUGACAUUUGCUUAAAAGGUGCAACUGCACCACUACCAGAUGGACCUGCGUUGUAUUAGCUAGUUGGUGAGGUAACGGCUCACCAAGGCAACGAUACAUAGCCGACCUGAGAGGGGGGUCGGCCACACUGGGACUGAGACACGGCCCAGAAUCCUACGGGAGGCAGCAGUAGGGAAUCUUCGGCAAUGGACGGAAGUCUGACCGAGCAACGCCGCGGGAGUGAAGAAGGUUUUCGGAUCGUAAAGCUCUGUUGUAAGAGAAGAACGAGUGUGAGAGUGGAAAGUUCACACUGUGACGGUAUCUUACCAGAAAGGGACGGCUAACUACGUG
rnacentral:rRNA from 1 species